rnacentral:rRNA from 1 species
CUACGGGCUGCUCCAGUGAGGAAUAUUGGUCAAUGGGCGAAAGCCUGAACCAACCAAUCCGCGUGCAGGAUGACUGCCCUAUGGGUUGUAAACUGCUUUUAUACAGGAAGAACUUCCCCGACGUGUCGGGGCGUGACCGUACUGUAAGAAUAAGCAUCGGCUAACUCCGUGCCAGCAGCCGCGGUAAUACGGAGGAUGCAAGCGUUAUCCGGAUUUAUUAGGUCUAAAGGGUGCGUAGGCGGAUGAUUAAGUCAGUGGUGAAAUCCUACAGCUUAACUGUAGAACUGCCAUUGAUACUGGUUAUCUUGAGUUUAGUUGAGGUAGGCGGAAUGUGUGGUGUAGCGGUGAAAUGCUUAGAUAUCACACAGAACACCGAUUGCGAAGGCAGCUUACUAAGCUACAACUGACGCUGAGGCACGAAAGCGUGGGGAGCGAACAGGAUUAGAUACCCGCGUAGUC